rnacentral:rRNA from 1 species
GUAAGGAAUAUUGGUCAAUGGGCGGAAGCCUGAACCAGCCAUGCCGCGUGCAGGACGACGGCCCUACGGGUUGUAAACUGCUUUUGCCCGGGAAUAACCCCCCGCUCUUGAGCGGGGCUGAACGUACCGGGAGAAUAAGGAUCGGCUAACUCCGUGCCAGCAGCCGCGGUAAUACGGAGGAUCCGAGCGUUAUCCGGAUUUAUUGGGUUUAAAGGGUGCGUAGGCGGCCCGUUAAGUCAGGGGUGAAAUACGGCAGCUCAACUGUCGCAGUGCCCUUGAUACUGACUGGCUUGAAUACCGGUGAAGGCGGCGGAAUGAGACAAGUAGCGGUGAAAUGCAUAGAUAUGUCUCAGAACCCCGAUUGCGAAGGCAGCUGCCUAACCGGCGAUUGACGCUGAUGCACGAAAGCGUGGGGAUCGAACAGGAUUAGAAACCCUUGUAGUCC